NUUGCAAAGAAGAUUAGCAUGGCCCCUGCGCCAGGAUGACACACAAAGUCAUGAAGCAUUCCAUGGUCUU
rnacentral:snRNA from 1 species